rnacentral:rRNA from 1 species
GAAUUCACUAGUGAUUUGGCGGCGUGGUUAAGACAUGCAAGUCGAACGAGAGAAUUGCUAGCUUGCUAAUAAUUCUCUAGUGGCGCACGGGUGAGUAACACGUGAGUAACCUGCCCCCGAGAGCGGGAUAGCCCUGGGAAACUGGGAUUAAUACCGCAUAGUAUCGAAAGAUUAAAGCAGCAAUGCGCUUGGGGAUGGGCUCGCGGCCUAUUAGUUAGUUGGUGAGGUAACGGCUCACCAAGGCGAUGACGGGUAGCCGGUCUGAGAGGAUGUCCGGCCACACUGGAACUGAGACACGGUCCAGACACCUACGGGUGGCAGCAGUCGAGAAUCAUUCACAAUGGGGGAAACCCUGAUGGUGCGACGCCGCGUGGAGGAAUGAAGGUCUUCGGAUUGUAAACCCCUGUCAUGUGGGAGCAAAUUAAAAAGAUAGUACCACAAGAGGAAGAGACGGCUAACUCUGUGCCAGCAGCCGCGGUAAUACAGAGGUCUCAAGCGUUGUUCGGAAUCACUGGGCGUAAAGCGUGCGUAGGCUGUUUCGUAAGUCGUGUGUGAAAGGCGCGGGCUCAACCCGCGGACGGCACAUGAUACUGCGAGACUAGAGUAAUGGAGGGGGAACCGGAAUUCACGGUGUAGCAA